CCCGGCGAUUGGGCGCCAGGGGCGUCUGGGUCUCGCGCGGGCGUGGGAGCCGAGGGCCCGGCCGCGGCGCCCGAGAGGCGGAGAUGGGCCAGUGACCCUCGACCCGUCCGUCCGUCGGGCUAGCGAGACCAGCCCGCCGCGGAGGAGACAGAGCAGGGAGCUACAGGAGGCCGUUCCGGAAAACGCCACGGGCAAGCAGGGCCAUCCUACGGCAUCCUCAGGUUAAGACGAUGGCACGGGAAUUCCGCAUGCCUCUCAAACUUCUCCCAGGUGACCUGAAGUCAGUUUUGAGAACCACGGGACCAGGUCGCUGAAGAAAGAAGUGAUGAAACUGGCCCACAGAAGAGGUCGCUGAGAUGUGUGGUCAUCAGGCUAAGGGGCUCUGGGAUGGGCAUUCCCCACCCCAACCCCUGGCUGUCCCCUUCCUCAGUCCGAGGGAAGGGUCUCCCCUUCAACCAGCUCAGAGUUCAGCUUAGUUCUUGACUCGGGUCUCAUCUCCAGGGGCUGUGGAUCACAGUGCUGGGUCCUUGGCCGUGGUGAGUUCCAGUGCUGGAGCUAGGGCCUGGCAGGACUGAGGACGAAGUAAAGCUCUACCUCUCAGAAGUGACGGCCUCAACAAGACUUACCCUCGAAGCUGUGCUGCUGAGGACACGUGGCACAGGGGUUGCACGGUCAGCUUUUAAUGCAAUGUGCGGUGGGUGAUGCAGAUCCUGUCCCUGGACAACCUUUUUUUGAGGCGACUAUCCUGCUACCCUCUACGUUUCGGUUUGCCUUCACUGGUUCUCUAACUUUCUGAGUCUUUGUUUUAGUCAAGUGUGUAAAUAUCAGGAUCUGGUAAGAGAUGCUUCCUACUCUCCCCUGCAGGCCCCUUCUCCUCCCCUCCCUCAAUGAAAAGUGACAGUCAGGGCUGGUGUCUGCCUGGCUUAAUAUGAAUGCUGAGACUUGUAAAAUCAUCAUGGCCAGUCCCAUUGUGCCAAGUGUCUGAAAGACCCUGUAUAGGUACUGUGAUAAGAAAUAGAUAUUUCCGUGAGUCAUCCCAGGCUCCUGACCACAGCUCUUAAAAUCUUGUAAUUUCCUAAGGGAUAAAUGUGUGAGGAGCAUCUUUUGUUCUAAUAAUUGGUCUUUGGCCCAGUUCUUGUCACAGAAAUCCCUUGGAACUUCCUGGAUGAUAGGACUGUCUUAUGUUCUAACGAAGCAAGUCUUGGUGGGCUCUGGGAUAGCUUCAGGAUGGAGGCUGGUCCUGAGAAACCCCAAGCUAUGAUUAGAAGCUUGGAACUUUCAGCCCCACCGCCCAUCCUCUGGAUAGGGACUGGAGACUGAGUUAAUAAUCGAUCGUGGAUGAAGCCUAUUGGAUGAAACCUCCUGAAAAUCCCUGAACUAG
rnacentral:lncRNA from 1 species